rnacentral:rRNA from 1 species
CAUAGCGACUAUCGUGGCAUAUCAAUAAGCGGAGGAAAAGAAACUAACAAGGAUUCCCUUAGUAACGGCGAGUGAAGCGGGAAGAGCUCAAAUUUGAAAUCUUCAAGGUUUUACCUUGACGAAUUGUAGUUUAAAGAAGUGUUUUCUGUUGAAGUUUUGGUAAAAGUUCUUUGGAAUAGGACAUCAUAGAGGGUGAGUAAUCCCGUAUUUGACCAUUAUUUUCAGCUGUGUGAUACACUUUCAAAGAGUCGGAUUGUUUGGGAAUGCAGUCCAAAAUGGGUGGUAAAUUUCAUCUAAAGCUAAAUAUUGGCGAGAGACCGAUAGCGAACAAGUACCGUGAGGGAAAGAUGAAAAGAACUUUGAAAAGAGAGUUAAACAGUACGUGAAAUUGUCAAAAGGGAAGCGUUUGACACCAGUGUUGUUUUCUCGAAAAUCAAUUAAAAAAGGCCGGAUUUUGUAGUUGUAUUGACCUUAAAAGCUUUCUUCACUCUUUUCUUGUCUUUUUUAAUGCACUUUUCGUUUAACAAGUCAACAUCAGUUUCUUUUGUUGUAAAAGGGUCAUUGGAAGGUGGCUUUCUUUUCGGAGAAAGUGUUUAUAGCCUUUGAUCUCUGCAAUCCGGAGAGACUGAGGUCUGCAGCGUAGACUCUUCGGGGUUAGAUACAUUUGUGCUAAGCUAUAGCCUUUUAUAGACAACUUGUUGACUAUGAUUAGUCAUUGUAGCUUACUCGCUUAUGCUAUUUUACCUACGCUUAGGAUGUUGAUAUGCAUGACUGAUAU